AGACCGAAGUGGAAACGUUAAUGGAAAGAUGCUUGGAAUGGAAAAAAAUAGUCUUGUACAGUUCAAGCUAUGUGCAAGCUUAUCCAGUGAAGGAUAAUACCCUAUGAAUCCGAAGAAAGGAAUUCUCAUCCACAAAGCUCAUUCCAGGAUAAUCCUUACAUCUUUGGGGUGACAAAAAAUUUUGUGACAAUAUUGUAACAGGUGUCACACUCAGUCAAAGCAUCUAUGGAGAUUGCAAUCUUGCGUCUUUAUUCACCAUCUUUAUCACUGAUAUUUUCAGGAUUCAAAACUCCUGUUCUCUCUAUGUAUAGGGCAGAUUGCACCAAAACGUUUAUUUCAGCAUGACCCUGAACCAGAAUGAAAGCAUUCACAUUAUUAGCAACCUUCACAUUGUAUUAGUCAAGAAAGGCCUUGCAAAAAAGAUUUUUCAUGUGCUAUAAAAUGACUCAUAGGGUAAUAUAGACAAGCAGUUUCCAAGUGUGUUCUUGCUGCUGGGAAAAAUAACCACAACUUAUUAAAAUUAUUGGAUUCUUA